rnacentral:rRNA from 1 species
UACAGAGGUCUCGAGCGUUAGGCGGAAUCACUGGGCUUAAAGCGUGUGUAGGCGGAUGCCUAAGUACCUUGUGAAAUCCCACGGCUUAACCGUGGAACUGCUUGGUAUACUGGGUGUCUUGAGCCACUCAGGGGCGAGCGGAACAAAUGGUGGAGCGGUGAAAUGCGUAGAUAUCAUUUGGAACGCCAAUGGUGAAAACAGCUCGCUGGGGGGUGUGCUGACGCGUGGAGACACGGAAAGCCAGGGGAGCGAACGGG